CCCGGGGGAGACCUCCCGGUGGUCCCUGGAGCUGCCAGCCCAGCUGCCAGCCUGGCUCACGCACUCCGGCACCUCCAGCCGCUCCGCACCCGACAUGGUGACGAACCGGCACAGUUUAUAGAGGGAGACGAGCAGGGCCAGACGUGCUCAGGGCAGAAAUGCUUUGGCCACUUCUUGCACUGGGAGGAGCAGCUUAAAUCCUUGCCUUCAAAACCAGGUUGUUGCCAGCUCAGACUGAGACUUAAAUUCAAGUUGAUGUUUUGAUGCGACAGUCGCUUUUAAUCCUCUCUGAACCCACUACAGGGGACAGGCAGAGGAAAGGGACAUCAGCUCCCAGCGAAGGAUGGUAACGGAGGCGUCCUGAGCAGCACAGCACUGCAGGAGAGGCUCAACACGGAACCAUAAGACUGGGAGCAGUCAAUGCUGGGAACUGCCUGUGUCCGAGCUGGCAGAGGUGAGGCCCCUGCAACAGCGGGCACCCUGCUCUGGUUCUUCUCUUCCCAAACCUUUCAUCACUUACUCAAG